rnacentral:rRNA from 1 species
CCUCGCCCCUUGUCCACAAACACACCCCCGUGCACAUCGAAGGCCCGGCUCGUUGAGUGGGUGGGCGACCGCCCAGGAUUCGUAGCCUCGCUUUCUUACACAAACUUCAGAAUGUAUAUCGGAAUGUCUUACGCGUUGUAACGCAUCGUAAUAUAACUUUCAGCAACGGAUCUCUUGGCUCUCGCAUCGAUGAAGAACGCAGCGAAAUGCGAUAAGUAAUGUGAAUUGCAGAAUUCAGUGAAUCAUCGAAUCUUUGAACGCACCUUGCGCUCCUUGGCAUUCCGAGGAGCAUGCCUGUUUGAGUGUCAUGAAACUCUCAACCCCUGCCAUCUUUGCGGAUGAGCGUCGGUUGGAUUUUGGAGGUUGCCGGACGCGCGUUCGGCUCCUCUUGAAUGCAUAGUAAAGCUUGGACCUGACCGACCGAGUGGACGUGAUAGAAAGUCACCGUCGACUGAAGGGUCCGUCGUUGAACGGUUCAAG